rnacentral:lncRNA from 7 species
CCCACAUCGGAGCUGUUUAUUGUAUAAAACCAUGGAUACAAAAGGCAGCGGUCGGUGCGUCAGCGGCGGUGUGCAGCGCUGCUAUGGGGUGAGCACAGCGCUGCUAUGGGGUGAGCACAGCGCUGCUAUGGGGUGAGCACAGCGCUGCUAUGGGGGUGAGCACAGCGCUGCUAUGGGGUGAGCACAGCGCUGCUAUGGGGUCAGGCACUGCUUUGGGGUGAGCACAGCGCUGCUAUGGGGUGAGCACAGCGCUGCUAUGGGGUCGGGCACUGCUAUGG